rnacentral:rRNA from 1 species
GACGAACGCUGGCGGCGUGCUUAACACAUGCAAGUCGAACGAUGAACCCGGAGCUUGCUCCGGUGGAUUAGUGGCGAACGGGUGAGUAACACGUGAGUAACCUGCCCUUGACUCUGGGAUAACUGCUAGAAAUGGUAGCUAAUACCGGAUACGACCCUCGGAGGCAUCUCCAGGGGGUGGAAAGAAUUUCGGUCAAGGAUGGACUCGCGGCCUAUCAGCUAGUUGGUGAGGUAAAGGCUCACCAAGGCGACGACGGGUAGCCGGCCUGAGAGGGUGACCGGCCACACUGGGACUGAGACACGGCCCAG